rnacentral:lncRNA from 1 species
AUGCUGAGCCCAGGACGGGGGCGUCCCGGCAGCUCCCACCUCCUGCCCGAGCUCGGAGGCGCCGCAGCAGCACAAGGCAGGGAAACGCCACCUUGUCCCCUGCCCAGUCCCACCAGCAACCCGUCGGCAUCGGGACCAGCCACCCCAAAGGCAUCACGGAGCAGGGAGGGGAAGGAGCCACCCCAGGGCCCCUCCGCAGCUCCGGGAAGGGGCCGGCUGGGUCCUCGCGUGGGCACGGAGGCGGCAAGAUCCGCUCCUCUCUCCGGCUGCCAACGCCAAAUCCAUUCGCCACGUUUCGGCUCCCCAAGGCAAUCGGCUCCGGCCGGCGGAAGGGAGUUCCCAGGGCCGGAGACGGCGCCUUGGAGGCUCAGCCCAAGGUGGGAGGCCGGGGAUGUGCCGAGCCAAAGCCCAGAACGCUGCAGACACUCUCCAUCCCCCACCGCAGCCGGCUCCCUCCUGCCCAGCGCUGGACCCAUGCCCGGAGGGCUGCGGGGCCCCGGGGGCUCCGGUCGGGAGGAGACAACCCACCAGGACGGGCUCCCCCCAGCCUCCCCGCUCUGGCAGCUCCUCUCUUGGCUCUCAAGCGCUGGAAACCAGGAUCCCAGCAAACAGCACAUCUAUGGAGGAAGCAAAGCCACUGCCCGGCUCCCGGGAGCCUCCUCCGCAGUGGCCAUCCCUGGGGAGGAGAGCGGGACCGAGGCAGAUCGUACCCCCGGUCCCCCCCGUGCCAGACCCAGAGGUGCCCCUCCAGGAGCUGGGGAUGGGCAGCGGGGUGGGGGUGGGAUGGGGGAUGAUGCCGUGGGGACGGUGAUGGGGACGUGGCGUGGAGGUGACGGGAAGGGGUGGGAGCGCUACAGGACGGUCUUGUCCAGGUCGACUUUGAGGGGCAGCGGCCCCGCGUCCUCGCCACUGUGUGCGGGGCACAGGGUGACGGCGAUGACAGGUGGCAGGGGGAAGGUGCUGGAGCCGUCCAGAUCCUCCAGGUAUUCCUUGUCCCCGUUGAUGCUCAGAGGCUGGAAGAGAAGCAGAGGGGACGGUGCAGCCCCAGAGCAAGGGACAAGACCCCCUUGUCCCCAGACUGGGAACACUGGGGCUGGCUGGGGACAUACUGCACAGCCUGGACACGCUGGUGAGCCCAGCAUGGUGGCCAGGGACCACAAACACUGUACGGCCACGGCUCAGCCCCACAAAACUCCUCCAGCCGUGAUGGGGAGACCAAGGGUGUCAGGGACACCCCCUCACCCCCCCAGGACUCCCCCCCGGGCUGCGCUGAGCACCGCUCACCCCAUACCUGGGUCUUGA